UCGCUCAUGUUAAAUACGUUCACUUUUCAGUUUUCCUUUCUUCUAAAAUGGAGUUUGACAGAUUGGGCUUUUCAGCUCCCCCUUUUUUUCACCACCUCUGCUUUCUACCUCAGAAAUACUCUUCAGGAAGCAGGAGUUAAUCUUGGCGAGGAAACGAUAAGGCUCAACUCUGCCUCCUGUGCCUGCGUGUAGCAGUGCCUUUCUCUUUGAAUAGCCCAAUUCAUUUCAAUGAGGCUACUCACAGAAGAGAGCACUGCUCAGCAUGAGUAAGGGUGGAAGAAUUGGGCCCUGACCCUGCAGAUUUCUCCAUGUGGGUGGAUUCCUCACCCAUGUUUAGUGCUCUGGUGACUUCACUGGGUCGCUGUGCUGAACAGCUUGCAGGAUAAGGCCUAAUACUGUCUUUAAAGAAGGACAAUAGAAGGAGAAAUAUCCCUUAAAUGAUGGAGAGGAAAUGGGUUCAUCAAGAGUGUCAGGCACUUGGUGGACAGUUCAUACUUCUCUGACAAACUACAAUUUGGUGGGAAACUUCACAAGAACCCACGGUAUCAGUAAGCCCUCAUCUGUAAAUUCAUGGAGUGCCCUGCAUUUGAUUAACUUCUGCUGUCCUUCACAUCCUCUACACAAAAGAUUCUCAUUUAAUGAAAGCCAUGUCGCUAGUUCCUUUAGUGCGAUCCAGAGUUGCUCCUGGGUCACCUAGAACUGUAGCUUUUGCUGAUGUGAAGACUUCCUGCUCACGGAUAGCACGACAUGAGGCCCUACUUGCUCCAGAGCCUGAUUGGCAUGGAUCUCCUGGCACACAGAAAGGCAAAGCUGUCUGAAAAUAGAAAAAGAGGAAGAGACUGUAAAAUCUACCAAACAAAUAUGAAGAAACUGUUUUUGAAAGUAAUUUAGGGAGAUGAAGAGCACGCUCAGAAAACAUGGGCAGGACACACAUACAGCAGUAAAUUCAGAUCCACCUGAAUGGGCUUUGAGCAGGAGUUUGGCAUUCUCAACCUGGGAUACAGGUGUUGGCCUGAGAUUGGUGGCAUGUUACCGUACACCUCUGACAAGGUUAGCAGGAUGUUCCAGGUAUGUUUAUGCUACACAGCAUUGCCAUGAUCCUUGCCUGAGGGGGAAGACAUACAUGAAAUACGGAGCCCUGAAAAGAAGAGGACAUAGGAGCUGUGAGGCUCAGGAGGACAUAAGCAUGCUGGACCAGGAAGAUGAUGAGGGAGCAAGGACACCAGCUAGUGUUCCCUGAGGCCCCUGAUUCUCAGAGACAGUUUGAUAGUCAAGACAAGAUCGCUGAAACUGCAACUUUUUCUGAGCAGGGCCUUGAAUCUACACAGAGUGCGCCACUGAUUCCAAGCCCAGGGAUCUACCCGUGCUAAAUAAAUUGCAGGAUUGGGGCCUAAAGUCUGUUUAACAAUGAAAGCCUCCAGUGCCUACAUAUGAGUCUUUUUCAAGAGCAUUUAAAAAGAAAUCAAAGUGAAAUAUGGCAUUAUCUACUUGGACGUAGAGAAGAGCCCAAAAGACACUGAUCAUAUCUCAGCAUAUGACUUUAAAAAUGCUCACAUUCUAUCCAUGCAGUCAAUUGCGAUUAAGAUUUUGUUCAAAGUUGGUCAAUAGGAGAUGCAAAUAAUUUAAAAAUGAGACCGUCCUGUUAAUACUAUGAGUCAAAGCAGGAAGAAAUGGAAAAAUCCAGUUUAUGCUUUCUAAAUCACUUACCCAUGUUUUACCAGUCUUUAUCAGAGUUUGUACACUUGCUCCAAUUAAAUUAUUUUUCUUCAGGGAAGCUUGCGAGGCACUUAUAUAAAUUCUCUUAAUUUCUAAGUAAUGCAGUCCUGACAAUCACUUAAGACAAGAUAGUUGAUACUGCUGCCAGGAAAGACUCUUUUUCAAAAGAAUGUUUUUAUAGAAUAUCAUUGUGACACUUUGCUCAGAUGGAUGUCUUUAGCAGAAUUUGAUUAAUGUAAUGUAAUAAAAGAGAUGCACACUAAAGUGUCUGUACAUGUCUUGUUAAGUAUGUUUGAUUCAUUAUAUGUAGUUCUCCUCACUUCUUUUCUCUUUUCUCAGUUCAUUUUUUAUCAUUUCAAUAAUAUAUCUAUAAAUAUGAAAAAGUUGGCACUUUCAAAGUCUUUGACAUAUAGGGCUAUUAAUUCAUAACUCUAAAAAUUGUAUCUUUCAACUUGUCAUUUUAAAACUUGUACAGUUUAUUACAGUAAGUAACCUGUGUUGGAAAUUAGAUUUUGAACUUUAGCAAGGAGAUAAAUAAGCUUGUGGACACAGAAGUUAUGAAAUACAGUGAUAAAAUAAAAUCAUAUGAAAAGAUCACUUACAUGAAGAUGAUAAUUUCAGAGCUCCCUG